rnacentral:rRNA from 1 species
UGCAAGUCGAACGAAACUUUCUUACACCGAAUGCUUGCAUUCACCGUAAGAAGUUGAGUGGCGGACGGGUGAGUAACACGUGGGUAACCUGCCUAAAAGAAGGGGAUAACACUUGGAAACAGGUGCUAAUACCGUAUAUCUCUAAGGAUCGCAUGAUCCUUAGAUGAAAGAUGGUUCUGCUAUCGCUUUUAGAUGGACCCGCGGCGUAUUAACUAGUUGGUGGGGUAACGGCCUACCAAGGUGAUGAUACGUAGCCGAACUGAGAGGUUGAUCGGCCACAUUGGGACUGAGACACGGCCCAAACUCCUACGGGAGGCAGCAGUAGGGAAUCUUCCACAAUGGACGCAAGUCUGAUGGAGCAACGCCGCGUGAGUGAAGAAGGUCUUCGGAUCGUAAAACUCUGUUGUUAGAGAAGAACACGAGUGAGAGUAACUGUUCAUUCGAUGACGGUAUCUAACCAGCAAGUCACGGCUAACUACGUGCCAGCAGCCGCGGUAAUACGUAGGUGGCAAGCGUUGUCCGGAUUUAUUGGGCGUAAAGGGAACGCAGGCGGUCUUUUAAGUCUGAUGUGAAAGCCUUCGGCUUAACCGGAGUAGUGCAUUGGAAACUGGAAGACUUGAGUGCAGAAGAGGAGAGUGGAACUCCAUGUGUAGCGGUGAAAUGCGUAGAUAUAUGGAAGAACACCAGUGGCGAAAGCGGCUCUCUGGUCUGUAACUGACGCUGAGGUUCGAAAGCGUGGGUAGCAAACAGGAUUAGAUACCCUGGUAGUCCACGCCGUAAACGAUGAAUGCUAGGUGUUGGAGGGUUUCCGCCCUUCAGUGCCGCAGCUAACGCAAUAAGCAUUCCGCCUGGGGAGUACGACCGCAAGGUUGAAACUCAAAGGAAUUGACGGGGGCCCGCACAAGCGGUGGAGCAUGUGGUUUAAUUUGAAGCAACGCGAAGAACCUUACCAGGUCUUGACAUCCUUUGACCACCUAAGAGAUUAGGCUUUCCCUUCGGGGACAAAGUGACAGGUGGUGCAUGGCUGUCGUCAGCUCGUGUCGUGAGAUGUUGGGUUAAGUCCCGCAACGAGCGCAACCCUUGUUGUCAGUUGCCAGCAUUAAGUUGGGCACUCUGGCGAGACUGCCGGUGACAAACCGGAGGAAGGUGGGGACGACGUCAAGUCAUCAUGCCCCUUAUGACCUGGGCUACACACGUGCUACAAUGGACGGUACAACGAGUCGCGAGACCGCGAGGUUUAGCUAAUCUCUUAAAGCCGUUCUCAGUUCGGAUUGUAGGCUGCAACUCGCCUACAUGAAGUCGGAAUCGCUAGUAAUCGCGAAUCAGCAUGUCGCGGUGAAUACGUUCCCGGGCCUUGUACACACCGCCCGUCACACCAUGAGAGUUUGUAACACCCAAAGCCGGUGGGGUAACCGCAAGGAGCCAGCCGUC